rnacentral:rRNA from 1 species
GAUGAACGCUGGCGGUGUGCCUAAAACAUGCAAGUCGAGCGCCCCUUUACGAGUAGAGAACUUUUGUUGUCUAUUUAUAUGGGGAGCGGCGGACGGCUGAGUAACGCGUAGGAACGUACCCCAAAGUGAGGGAUAACCACUCGAAAGAGUGACUAAUACCGCAUAUGGUCUUCGGAUUAAAGCAGCAAUGCGCUAUGGGAACGGCCUGCGUCGGAUUAGGUAGUUGGUGAGGUAAUAGCUCACCAAGCCGACGAUCCGUAGCUGGUCUGAGAGGAUGAUCAGCCAGACUGGAACUGAGACACGGUCCAGACUCCUACGGGAGGCAGCAGUUAGGAAUCUUCCACAAUGGGGGCAACCCUGAUGGAGCAACACCGCGUGCUGGAUGAAGGCCUUCGGGUCGUAAACAGCUUUUGUAUACGAAGAAUAUGACGGUAAUAUACGAAUAAGGGUCGGCUAACUACGUG